GACGAACGCUGGCGGCGUGCCUAAUACAUGCAAGUAGAACGCUGAAGAGAGGAGCUUGCUCUUCUUGGAUGAGUUGCGAACGGGUGAGUAACGCGUAGGUAACCUGCCUGGUAGCGGGGGAUAACUAUUGGAAACGAUAGCUAAUACCGCAUAAAAUGGAUUAUCGCAUGAUAAUCCAUUGAAAGGUGCAAAUGCAUCACUACCAGAUGGACCUGCGUUGUAUUAGCUAGUUGGUGGGGUAACGGCUCACCAAGGCGACGAUACAUAGCCGACCUGAGAGGGUGAUCGGCCACACUGGGACUGAGACACGGCCCAGACUCCUACGGGAGGCAGCAGUAGGGAAUCUUCGGCAAUGGACGGAAGUCUGACCGAGCAACGCCGCGUGAGUGAAGAAGGUUGUCGGAUCGUAAAGCUCUGUUGUAAGAGAAGAACGAGUGUGAGAGUGGAAAGUUCACACUGUGACGGUAUCUUACCAGAAAGGGACGGCUAACUACGUG
rnacentral:rRNA from 1 species